AAGGAGUUAGUUAAAUAAUAACAUUAGAAUGUCAAUCUAAAAUAACUUAAAUUAAAGUACACCUUG
rnacentral:tRNA from 1 species